rnacentral:rRNA from 1 species
UACAGAGGUCCCGAGCGUUGUUCGGAUUCACUGGGCGUAAAGGGUGCGUAGGUGGCUUUGCAAGUCUGAUGUGAAAUCUCCGGGCUUAACCCGGAAAUGGCAUUAGAAACUGUGAGGCUUGAGGCUUGGAGGGGAACUGGAAUUCUCGGUGUAGCAGUGAAAUGCGUAGAGAUCGAGAGGAACACCAGUGGCGAAGGCGAGUUCCUGGACAAGUCCUGACACUGAGGCACGAAAGCCGGGGGAGCAAACAGG